CUUGGUGGGCGCGGUUUUGGAACAGCCAUGUCUUCUCUAAUUUUGACAGUGCUUGAGUUUAGAGUAUGGUUAUACUUUUGCUUAGGGUAAGUUAACACGUCUCUUUCUACAAUUUUUAAAUGCUUCUUAUCACGAAGGGAAUUAUGUUUGUAUGGAUAGUGAAUUUUGCAAAGGCUUUUGUACUUGUUGUUUUUAUGUCUAACUACCAACUGUUUAUUCUUAAAUAAAAACAGCAGGGUAAUUGCUUUUCUUACUGGUGCUCCUGAUUAUGAAGAUGGUCAACUAGACACUAAGAGAUAUGGUGAGUAAUAUGCUAGCAAAGGGGAAGAUGUUGACCUCAUGUUGCUCCCUGAGCAGAUACCUUCCUAUAGAGAUCCGGUAAGCUUGUGCUUCUUUUGCAGUAAAAAAAAUUCUAUCCAUUAGUGAAAUUUUGAAACAGGCCACUAUGGUGCUGUUGUUGUUCAAGCAGGAGUAUGUGUACACAUAUUUGCAGGCGAAUGCUAUCCUGAGAUUGACUUACAGUUAAUUGCUAUCCUUAGAUUGACCGAACUUCAGUACAUUACUUCUGUUCUGACUUGAAGAUGUCCUCGAAUGCCAAAUUGCUCUCAAACUUUGAACCCCUUUCAUUUUCUUCCAUGUAAAGUUUUUUUUUAAAUGGCAGUGGAUGUUGAGUAAUCUAUGCUAGCAAUGUGAUGUUAGAAAAGGCGUAUUUCUAGACCUGCUUGUAAAUUACUCCACACAAACAAGUGCAUUUUUCUAGACCUGCUUGUAAAUUACUCCACACAAACAAGCAAAUUCAAUAGACAUUUUUACAAGAAUUCAGUAGAUUUCUUCCCAUGGUUGCUAUUUGUUUCUCUUGACCCCUGGUAAUUACUCUUGGCCCCUGGUACUCCAAGAAGACUAUGCAGUUAUCCUAGACUAUUGCAAUCAUCCUUUCAGGUAGCAAUAGCCUUUUUUGAUUUAAAAGCCUGGCUACCAUGGUCCUUGGGUAUAUUUCAUUCUGUGUGCUAACUAGAGAAGACAUGGCAUGCAUGCAUGCACAUAGGCUGUACUUGUUGAACAGGGGAUUUUUUACCUGGAAAUAUUGGUUUACUCUAAUCCACCCAAACUCAGUCUUCAUUUUACUGAAUUUAGAUUAGAUGUUGACUUGUUUCUACCGGGAGAAGAUGUUGGUUUAUUCUUUAUUUUGAUUGUUGUGGUUGCUCGACAAGUUGCCUCUCAGAUUAUUGCUCUCAGUGCAAACUGGAGUAGAUUAAUUAAUUUGGAGUGUGUGGUCUGUGGUGGGCUCAACUCUUCCUCCUGAUGUUGUAAAAAAAUCUUGUUCCACUGGAUGGAUGGAGCCUCUUUUUUCAUCUGAAAGACACCCCACAUUUCUGAAGAUAGAUACACCUACAGUUUCAGCAGUGAAGUAGUACCACACUCUGAUCUGAUCUGUUUCCAAUUGUAAUAAAAGUUGGUUAUUUACUUAUCAGCUGAGUACAAGUAGUGGAGAUUGACUAGUUGUUUCCUUGUGCAAGGUUCACAGCAAAAAACUGGUAUUGAAUUCGCCGCCGGCUCCGAGACCUCGACCGGACGGACGAAAGGCGGAUUGAAAUCAUUGCUAUGGCGCCGUAUAUUAUAUGCAGUCCCACGUUUUCCCCUUCCUUUAUUUAGGUGAGCAUCAUCACAAAACAUGCAUCGUCAGACAGGUGUAGGUUGACUGAAUAUUGACUGAAUAUUGGGCAGGUGAUAUUGAUCUGAGCAGGAUUUGUUUUUAUCUCUGAAUUUGUAUGAUAUGUGAACCCCAAAACAUGCAUCGUCAGACAGGAAAAGGGGAGGUGUUCACCAUUCUAUAGAGAGCAGAAAGAUUGAUGGCUAGGGAAACUCAUGGAGAAAAGAAGACAAAGUUCUUCAGUUAACAUUGACUGACUGAAUAUCUACUGAUUUUUUCAGUUAACUCAUGGAGCAAAUCCUUACAGUACCUUCUCCCUGAUGAAUGUAGCUCUGGCGGCAGCACGGGCAGACGAGCAGCAGUAGUACGGGUAGACGAGCAGCAGCAGUACAGGCAAAGGAGCUCCACCGGCGGCAGGGGACAAGCAGCCGCACGGGCGCGCGGGCAGGGGAGAAGGAGCAGCACGAGCUUGCGCGGGAGAUUGAGGAAGACGCGCGGGAGAUUGAGGAUCACACGCGCGAGCUCCCGGUCCACUGGAUCAUGGAGGCAGGCUCCGGCGACGCCGGUAGGGGAUCGCGGCGGCGCACGCGUGGGAGCUCCAGCAGGAUGCGCGGGAGCGCGAUGGAUGACGCACGCGAGCUUGAGGAGGAUGCACGGGGGUUCCAGGAGGGACGCGCGCGGCAGGAGAUUCCGGCGAAGCCCACAGGCAGCGGGAGGGGACCGCCGGCGCAGGUCUGGGCUGCGGCAGCAGAGGAGGUAAUUGGCGACGACGGCGAGAGCAGGUACUUGGCGAAGCUGAGAGCAGGUACUUGGCUACGGCGGAGGAGCUCAGCUGGGCUCGCCGGCCCCUGGCGAAUCACGCAGCUGGGUGGCGCCGGCCCCUGGCGACGCGCAGGCGACGGGCGGAGGAAGAAGACGGGGCGGAGGGGCUUGUUCGAAACGCUUUUCAAACCACGAGGGGUUUUUUGUAAAAUUAUCAGUGAACUACGCCCGCGACAUGUUUUUCGGGACGGAGGGAGUACAAGUUAAUAUUUUGAAUACAUGGUCAACAUUUUUUAUUUACA